rnacentral:rRNA from 1 species
GACGAACGCUGGCGGCGUGCUUAACACAUGCAAGUCGAACGGACAGGCCCUGCUCUUGUGGGGUGCUUGUGUGGCGAACGGGUGAGUAACACGUGAGUAACCUGCCCUUGACUUUGGGAUAACUUCUGGAAACUGGGGCUAAUACCGGAUAGGAGCUCCUGCUGCAUGGUGGUGGUUGGAAAGUUUCGGCGGUUGGGGAUGGACUCGCGGCUUAUCAGCUUGUUGGUGGGGUAGUGGCUUACCAAGGCUUUGACGGGUAGCCGGCCUGAGAGGGUGACCGGCCACAUUGGGACUGAGAUACGGCCCAGACGCGUACGGGAGGCAGCAGUGGGGAAUAUGGCACAAUGGGCGGAAGCCUGAUGCAGCAACGCCGCGUGCGGGAUGACGGCCUUCGGGUUAUAAACCGCUUUCGCCUGUGACGAAGCGAGAGUGACGGUAAUGGGUAAAGAAGCACCGGCUAACUACGUG